rnacentral:rRNA from 1 species
CAGUCGAGGGGCAGCGGGGAGGUAGCAAUACUUCCGCCGGCGACCGGCGCACGGGUGAGUAACACGUAUGGAACCUGCCCGUAGCAGGGGGAUAAGCGGAAGAAAUUCCGUCUAAUACCGCGUAAUAACUCCGAGAGGCAUCUCUUGGGGUUUAAAGGGUAACAUCGGCUACGGAUGGCCAUGCGGCGCAUUAGCUAGUUGGCGGGGUAACGGCCCACCAAGGCGACGAUGCGUGGGGGUUCUGAGAGGAAGGUCCCCCACACUGGUACUGAGACACGGGCCAGACUCCUACGGGAGGCAGCAGUGAGGAAUAUUGGUCAAUGGGCGCGAGCCUGAACCAGCCAAGUCGCGUGAGGGAAGACGGUCCUAUGGAUUGUAAACCUCUUUUGUCGGGGAGCAAAAGACGUCACGUGUGGCGUUCCGAGAGUACCCGAAGAAAAAGCAUCGGCUAACUCCGUACCAGCAGCCGCGGUAAUACGGAGGAUGCGAGCGUUAUCCGGAUUUAUUGGGUUUAAAGGGUGCGCAGGCGGAAGAUCAAGUCAGCGGUAAAAUUGAGAGGCUCAACCUCUUCGAGCCGUUGAAACUGGUUUUCUUGAGUGAGCGAGAAGUAUGCGGAAUGCGUGGUGUAGCGGUGAAAUGCAUAGAUAUCACGCAGAACUCCGAUUGCGAAGGCAGCAUGCCGGCGCUCAACUGACGCUCAUGCACGAAAGUGUGGGUAUCGAACAGGAUUAGAUACCCUGGUAGUCCACACAGUAAACGAUGAAUACUAAUUGUUCGGGGAGAAUGAUCCCUGAGUGAUACAGCGAAAGCGUU